CCGCUGGAUUUUUCUAGUGAUGAUGAAGUUUAGAUUGUGUGGAUAGUUUUCUGUUUAGUCAUCUUAGUUUGUUCUUAUUCUCAUUCAUAUGUAUUCUGGUGUGUUUUUGCUGUCUCUUUGUUUUCUGUGGUUUU